AGAAGAUGCCUGAUAAAGGAUUAUCUUGAUGUGAUAAAUAAUGUUUUUUAAACUCUUCUUAC
rnacentral:tRNA from 1 species